UACGGAGGAUGCGAGCGUUAUCCGGAUUUAUUGGGUUUAAAGGGUGCGCAGGUUGUUUGAUAAGUCAGUGGUGAAAGUCUGUCGCUUAACGGUAGGAUUGCCAUUGAUACUGUUGGACUUGAAUAUGGAUGAGGUAGGCGGAAUGUGUAAUGUAGCGGUGAAAUGCAUAGAUAUUACACAGAACACCGAUUGCGAAGGCAGCUUACUAAUCCAUCAUUGACGCUGAGGCACGAAAGCGUGGGGAUCAAACAGGA
rnacentral:rRNA from 1 species